UACAGGAGUCUCAAGCGUUGUUCGGAUUCAUUGGGCGUAAAGGGUGCGUAGGUGGCGCUGUAAGUCGGGUGUGAAAUUUCGGAGCUUAACUCCGAAACUGCAUUCGAUACUGCGGUGCUUGAGGACUGGAGAGGAGACUGGAAUUCAUGGUGUAGCAGUGAAAUGCGUAGAGAUCAUGAGGAAGACCAGUGGCGAAGGCGGGUCUCUGGACAAGUUCCUGACACUGAGGCACGAAGGCCAGGGGAGGCAAACGGG
rnacentral:rRNA from 1 species